GGGGAGUAGCUCAGUCGGUAGAGCACCGGACUGUUAAUCCGUAGGUCGUGGGUUCGAGCCCCACCUCCCC
rnacentral:tRNA from 1 species